rnacentral:rRNA from 1 species
UACAGAGGGGGCAAGCGUUAUUCGGAAUUAUUGGGCGUAAAGGGCGCGUAGGCGGCUUGGCAAGUGGAUGGUGAAAUCCCUCGGCUUAACCGAGGAACUGCCAUCCAGACUGCUUUGCUUGAGGCCGGGAGAGGUAAGUGGAAUUCCCCAGUGUAGCGGUGAAAUGCGUAGAUAUUGGGAGGAACACCAGUGGCGAAGGCGGCUUACUGGACCGGUUCUGACGCUGAGGCGCGAAAGCGUGGGGAGCAAACGGG